rnacentral:pre_miRNA from 2 species
UUAAUACUUCCUUCGUCUGAAAAUACUUGUCAUAAGAAUGGAUGUAUCUAGAUGUAUUUUAGUUUUAGAUACAUCUAUUUUUAUAUAUUUGUGCGACAAGUAAUUCCGGACGGAGGAAAUACCAA